UAACCCUCAAGCCUAGCUUGGUGUUGGAGCCUGCCUCUGGGCAGCUCUUAAAAUCAGUGGCGGUGCCGUCUGGCUCUAAGCGUAGUAAUUUUUCUCGCUACAGGGUCCUGCGGUUGCUUGCCAACAACCCCAAAUUUUCUAU
rnacentral:misc_RNA from 1 species